UAGGUUUUGUUUUAAUAUAAUUCAGUCAAUUUUUGAAGAGAUAUGUCGAGCCAACAAAUAGAUUGAAUGGAGGAGCAGAAUGGUUAGCAGAGGUACCGGAGCCGAGCCUAUUCAGCCACUUUGGUGUAUUAGGAAUCCUGAUGACUUAUUGUAUUGUUGGGAGAGAUUGUAGUUGGCAACCAUAUAUGACAUUACUUCUAUAGACAAUAACUCUGCUCCUACCCCUAUUGAUCAAAACUGGGUUCCUCCUCCGGGUGGUGCUUCAAUGUAACAGUCUCAAGAUCAAAUGUGUACAUUUGGGUAUUCAAGUUAUGGUUUCCGGAUGUUAGCAUUUAUAAUAUCCUCAUAUGAAAAGGAUCCAGAUUUUCAAAUUAGCAUUUAUAUUUUCAUUUGCAAUUCAGAAGUAUUAUUUUCCUGUUUUGAGUUUUAAUUAUUGUUUAUUGGUUUAUUUAUAUUUGCUGUUGGUGGUGCAACUUGGAAAAUAAUAUAGGGAUCUAAAGUUAAUCCUGAGGACACCUAUUUUGCUGAACCUACUUUUACUUUGGAGCUUCCCCUUUUAGUUGUUGUAUUACUUGUGUUUAACUCCUUACAAAAAGAGGGUAAUAUUUCAUAGUGGAAUUUGAACAAUCCGCUAUUGUUUUGCGAUACGCUAAUUAGUACAGAGUGUUGUCAAAUAACAACUAAAGUGGCGCCAUAGCACUCUCGCACAGCUCAACUUUAGCAAUCCUGUAUUUUCUGCUAUUCACGAUUGACAACAUUGAUGAGAUAUCUUUCAUGGUUUUUGUAGGUAUGUGAUGAACUCGAGGAUGAUAUGGAAGAGGAAGGGAACAUCGUACACUAUCAUGGCUGUGAUUUUUUUCCCGAGCGAUGGUUUAAUUAUGUGGUUGUACUUCAAACUGAUAACACCAUUUUGUAUGACUAUUUGACCAAAAGAGGGUACAACGAAUCGAAGCAUUUCGUGGCACGCUUAUUCAGUCGUAUCCUGUGGUUUGCCAUAUUCAGUUGUUCAAUAUCAUCAAUUAUGCUGACUUUUUCUUUUUCUUUUUCCUCUAUUAUUUUUUCAGCAAUGGAGUUAGCUUUGUCUUUGGAGAAGUUAUCAAAUGAGAAACUUCUCAAUGUGCAUAGUGUGGCACGCAACAAUGACAUUGAAAUUACACACUUCAUCGAAGGCGAAUAUUUGAACGAACAGGGUUCGAAUGCAAUAAGAAGUGACGAAUCGAAUUUGAAGACUGAAUAAUGUAUUAUUCUUGUCAGCCUUAUAGCUACAAGGCUCGUACAUAAUCAUUAGGAGCUGAAUAGACACUAUGAUGGAAAAUUGAUACUCUAGGCUACCGAUAAUCCACAGUUAAUAAAUGAAGAGGAUGGAGGAAUACACAAGCGACAUGCUUCACCUUCCAUUCGUGAUAGAGGUACACUAAUGUCUUUACCCAGUCAAGCCUCUACUUCGUCUAAUCCACCUGGUUAUGGAACAUCUGCAAUUGUUGCCAUGGAUAGAAGUUCAAGUUUAUCAUCAGGGACAUCUGUGUCAUCUGGUGUACUUAUAUAUAUGAAGUAUGAUUUAUAAUUAACCACUUCUAGGGAUGAUGAUCUGUUUGUAGUGUUUAUAACAAGUCUUUGUCACUCAAGUUUUUAUAUUUAGUUUUGGUUCAGGUUUAUUAGAUAUAUAAUGUACUUAGUCAAUCAUAUACUGAUGCUAUUGUCAUUGAUGUGUAGACAGUAAAAUAAUUUGUAUUCAUAAAAUUAUAGUAAUCAAAUUUUAAAUUCUUUAAAAUUGGCGCAAGUGAUUGGUGUGU